rnacentral:rRNA from 1 species
CAGUCGCCACGGUAAUACGAAGGGUGCAAGCGUUACUCGGAAUUACUGGGCGUAAAGCGUGUGUAGGUGGUUGUUUAAGUCUGUCGUGAAAGCCCUGGGCUCAACCUGGGAAUUGCGAUGGAUACUGGGCGACUAGAGUGCGGUAGAGGAUAGUGGAAUUUCCGGUGUAGCAGUGAAAUGCGUAGAGAUCGGAAGGAACAUCUGUGGCGAAGGCGACUAUCUGGGCCAACACUGACACUGAGACACGAAAGCGUGGGGAGCAAACCGGAUUAGAUACCCCGGUAGUCCCUGUCUCUUAUAC